rnacentral:rRNA from 1 species
CCUACGGGAGGCAGCAGUGGGGAAUAUUGCACAAUGGGGGAAACCCUGAUGCAGCGACGCCGCGUGAGUGAGGAAGUAUUUCGGUAUUUAAAGCUCUAUCAGCAGGGAAGAAAAUGACGGUACCUGACUAAGAAGCCCCGGCUAACUACGGGCCAGCAGCCGCGGUAAUACGUAGGGGGCAAGCGUUAUCCGGAUUUAAUGGGGGGAAAGGGAGCGUAGACGGUUAAUCAAGUCAGAAGUGAAAACCCAGGGCUAAACCUUGGGACUGCUUUUGAAACUGAGUAGCUAGAGUGCAGGAGAGGUAAGCGGAAUUCCUGGUGUAGCGGUGAAAUGCGUAGAUAUUAGGAGGAACACCAGUGGCGAAGGCGGCUUACUGGACUGUAACUGACGUUGAGGCUCGAAAGCGUGGGGAGCAAACAGGAUUAGAUACCCUGGUAGUC